CGAUCUUGUGGGCGGCCAUGGCGAUCUGUUUGAGCUGCGGGGAAGACGAUACCGUGGUGGAUCCGGACUCAGGCGCCUGUGUCUGUUGCUCCUGCGGCUGCGUAGUCUCCACCGACGAGUUCCGCCACCAGGCCUUCACCUCUGACGGCCAAGCUACUGGCUUCCUCCACAGCAUCACCGAUUUUGACUACCGCCAGCGGAAGCUCCACCGCGCUCGAUCCCAAAUAGAGGAUCUUACCUCUGCCCUCGGCCUCUCCUCCCUUCGAGCGACCGAUGUUUCGGACCUCAUCUCCGAAGCCACUGACGGCUCCUUUGGCGACGGCCAGUGGUUCAGCGACCUCAUCGCUGCCUGCUCCUACAUCGUCGCGCGACGCCACCGCAUCCCUACCUCCCUUACUGAGGCGGCCGACGCUGUAGGCCGUGAUGCCUGUGACGUUGGUCACAUGGUCACCCGUGUCGUGCAGCAUCUUCGCCUUCCCUCGCUCCCGGAGUUCAAUAUUGCUGCUGCCCUCGAUCGCGUGGUUAAUACCUGCCAAAGCUUCAAGGGGCUGGAUCCUGAGAAAUCGAAAGAGUUAAUCGGCCAAGGGCAAUUCCUUCUCAACUGCGCCACCAAAUGGUUCCUCACAACUGGGCGCCAGCCGCUUCCGCUGGUUGCUGCGGUCCUCGCCUUUGUGGCGGAUGCUAACGGGGUUAAAGCUUCCGUGGAGGAGAUUGCGGAGGGGAUUCCUGCUGGGGUAACCACAAGCAAGCUCCGGCUCAAGGAGCUAAUGGAGACCCUCAUUAGGGUUGCAAGAUCCUUGCUUCCAUGGGGGAAGGACGUCACACUCCAAAACCUAACGCUAAAUGCCCCUUUGCUGAUUCGCUUGAUGGAGAGGAAAUCAAAAUCGGACCAUUCUGUGGAUAUUGGCUUUGGUUUCGAUGCCUUUUCCGGUGCUUUGAGAAAGGACAACGAAGACGAAUCUAAGUACUUCAAGAUCGGUGAAGAACAAGAUUGUACUGCAAACUGUGACAAUUUUGCGUAUGCUAAACUGUCAGGGGAGUGCAUAUCAAUUGCCUACGAUAAAGUCUUGGAAAGAAUUGAUCACCUUAAAGCAAUUGGAGGGUUUGAUAAAGACCGAUCAAAAAGGUCGAGGAGAGAGAUAUUGGAGACCAGGGCACUUCAAGAUGCUUGGGAGGGGAGGUGGGACAGAGAAAAUAAAUUGACGCUGGAGCAGGUCUUGGAACGUGAUGUGGGCUUUUAUGCUCUGCCCCCGUCUUUUGUUGCUGGUGUGCAAUCCAGGAGAUUCAGGAGAGCUAAGAUAGAAGCUGCUAAACAACGGAUUCAAAAGAUUAUGAAAACAUUUGGAACCAAGCAAAAUUCCGCUGGAGGCGUCAAGGUGGAGGAUUGUGUUGUGGAAGAGAGGGUGGGCAGGAAGAGGAGAAGAACAAAGAAGCAAUGUGAGGAUAAGCUUGAUUGGGAAGACUGCAUAAUUGAGCUUUUGCUGCUUCAUCGAGUGGAGGAGGAUGAAAUAGAGCAAGAUGCCCAGACUUGUUUGUCAAAGCUACAACCGAAGAAGUUGAAAGUUAUGGAUUCUGUCCCAUCUUCAAAGGCCUAACCUGUUGCCAAGACUGUCAACAAAGAGUGCAGCAGUAGGGAGGAAGAUGAUGAUGAUAGCUCUGAAGAAAGUUCAGACGAUGAACAUUCAAAAUGGCAACAAGAUAAGAAGACCAAAUCUGUUGCUAAGACUGUCAAAAAAGAGAACAGCAGUAGUGAGGAAGAUGAGGAUGAUAGCUCUGAAGAAAAUUCAGAUGAUGAACCUUCUGAACAGCAACAAGCUAUAAGAGGAUUCUGUCCCAUCUUCAAAAGCCAAACCUGUUGCUAAGACUGUAGCAGUAAGGAAGAUGAUGAGGAUGAUAGCUCUGAAGAAAGUACAUAUGAUGAACCUUCAAAACAGCAACAAGCUAAGAAGUUAUCCAAAUUUUCACACAUAUGUGAACCUUCAAAACAGCAACAAGCUAAGAAGGUGACUCGAGCAUCUACAAAGAGCAAUCGCUCUGAUUCAUUUGAGGAAUUUUUUGAUGAGGAAAGUGAAGAUGAGAACUUGAGAAGCCACUUAAGACUCCAAAGAAGGUAGUUUUGAGAAGUA